GAUGAACGCUGGCGGCGUGCCUAAUACAUGCAAGUCGAGCGAACAGACGAGGAGCUUGCUCCUUUGACGUUAGCGGCGGACGGGUGAGUAACACGUGGGUAACCUACCUAUAAGACUGGGAUAACUUCGGGAAACCGGAGCUAAUACCGGAUAAUAUUUCGAACCGCAUGGUUCGAUAGUGAAAGAUGGCUUUGCUAUCACUUAUAGAUGGACCUGCGCCGUAUUAGCUAGUUGGUAAGGUAACGGCUUACCAAGGCAACGAUACGUAGCCGACCUGAGAGGGUGAUCGGCCACACUGGAACUGAGACACGGUCCAGACUCCUACGGGAGGCAGCAGUAGGGAAUCUUCCGCAAUGGGCGAAAGCCUGACGGAGCAACGCCGCGUGAGUGAUGAAGGUCUUCGGAUCGUAAAACUCUGUUAUUAGGGAAGAACAAACGUGUAAGUAACUGUGCACGUCUUGACGGUACCUAAUCAGAAAGCCACGGCUAACUACGUGCCAGCAGCCGCGGUAAUACGUAGGUGGCAAGCGUUAUCCGGAAUUAUUGGGCGUAAAGCGCGCGUAGGCGGUUUUUUAAGUCUGAUGUGAAAGCCCACGGCUCAACCGUGGAGGGUCAUUGGAAACUGGAAAACUUGAGUGCAGAAGAGGAAAGUGGAAUUCCAUGUGUAGCGGUGAAAUGCGCAGAGAUAUGGAGGAACACCAGUGGCGAAGGCGACUUUCUGGUCUGUAACUGACGCUGAUGUGCGAAAGCGUGGGGAUCAAACAGGAUUAGAUACCCUGGUAGUCCACGCCGUAAACGAUGAGUGCUAAGUGUUAGGGGGUUUCCGCCCCUUAGUGCUGCAGCUAACGCAUUAAGCACUCCGCCUGGGGAGUACGACCGCAAGGUUGCAACUCAAAGGAAUUGACGGGGACCCGCACAAGCGGUGGAGCAUGUGGUUUAAUUCGAAGCAACGCGAAGAACCUUACCAAAUCUUGACAUCCUUUGACCCUUCUAGAGAUAGAAGUUUCCCCUUCGGGGGACAAAGUGACAGGUGGUGCAUGGUUGUCGUCAGCUCGUGUCGUGAGACGUUGGGUUAAGUCCCGCAACGAGCGCAACCCUUAAGCUUAGUUGCCAUCAUUAAGUUGGGCACUCUAAGUUGACUGCCGGUGACAAACCGGAGGAAGGUGGGGAUGACGUCAAAUCAUCAUGCCCCUUAUGAUUUGGGCUACACACGUGCUACAAUGGACAAUACAAAGGGCAGCGAAACCGCGAGGUCAAGCAAAUCCCAUAAAGUUGUUCUCAGUUCGGAUUGUAGUCUGCAACCCGACUACAUGAAGCUGGAAUCGCUAGUAAUCGUAGAUCAGCAUGCUACGGUGAAUACGUUCCCGGGUCU
rnacentral:rRNA from 1 species